rnacentral:rRNA from 1 species
AGUGAACGCUGGCGGUAGGCCUAACACAUGCAAGUCGAACGGCAGCACAGUAAGAGCUUGCUCUUACGGGUGGCGCGUGGCGGACGGGUGCGGAAUACAUCGGAAUCUACUUUUUCGUGGGGGAUAACGUAGGGAAACUUACGCUAAUACCGCAUACGACCUACGGGUGAAAGCAGGGGAUCUUCGGACCUUGCGCGAUUGAAUGAGCCGAUGUCGGAUUAGCUAGUUGGCGGGGGAAAGGCCCACCAAGGCGACGAUCCGUAGCUGGUCUGAGAGAGUGAACAGCCACACUGGAACUGAGACACGGUCCAGACUCCUACGGGGGGCAGCAGUGGGGAAUAUUGGGCGAUGGGCGCAAGCCUGAUCCAGCCAUACCGGGUGGGGGAAGAAGGCCUUCGGGUUGGAAAGCCCUUUUGUUGGGAAAGAAAAGCAGCAGGUUAAUACCCCGCUGUUCUGACGGUACCCAAAGAAUAAGCACCGGCUAACUUCGUG